GAGACUCUGGGCAGAGGAAGGGUGUGUGGACUCAAAGUGUUCUCCCCUACGAAAGUAGUACAGAGGCCUACAGAUGGGAGCAGUGAUCCGUACGAAAAUGUAAGAGGAAACUUACCAAGAAACCAGAGUUCCAUGAAAUGAAGCUGGAGAGCAGAGUGGCAUAGAGAGCGUACCCCGA